AUCAUAUUUUCCCUGCUUGUCUCUAAAGCAAGUCAUUUUGUCCGGAGGUUCAGCCACCUCUCUUGUCAAGGCACAGCAGGGGCUGUUGCUUGCCUGGGAACCCUGCCAAAGCUGUAACAGCACUCAAUUCACCUAGCAGGGGCCACCUGCUUCAGGGGCAUUGUGGACCAGUCCUCUGGACACUAGUUUUUGGAAGAAGGGACUUGACAGCCCCGGUGAGUGGUGAGAUUGAGUGGCACCAGGUGGACUGCUUGCCUGAGGCCGCUCACCCCAUGCAACUGCAAUUCCCAAGCCUUUUCCCUGGAUGUCAGCCUCUAUCCACAGCGAGGUGUCUCUUGAAAAUGGCUAUAAAACUUCUUGUCAAAUUGGAGUACUUUGGAAUAUUUAGGAAAAGUUGGCAGAGAGGAGACAGGACUAAAGUGCAGCUCCCACUUGGAUGAACUGAACAGUGUGUGGAGACUCACAUUGUGAAUUUUUGCUCCAAGAACUACCUCAGGAACAUACCAGAAAAACCAAAAGAAUUCACAGACCCUUUGAAAAAAGUGGCUUGCCAGUGCAAACUCCAUGAGACAGCUGAAAAACUGUGCUCUCUGUACACAGAGGGUUUUGUCUGUUUGGUCACCGAUAUAUCUUCAGUGCCCAGAACAGUGCAUGGCAAUGGCAGACUCUCAACUGAUGGUUUAAAGAG
rnacentral:lncRNA from 1 species